UACGGAGGGUGCAAGCGUUGCUCGGAAUUACUGGGCGUAAAGCGUACGCAGGCUGUUCGUUAAGUCGGGUGUGAAAGCCCGGGGCUCAACCCCGGAAUUGCGCCCGAAACUGACGAGCUUGAGUGCGGGAGAGGGAAGCGGAAUUCCUGGUGUAGAGGUGAAAUUCGUAGAUAUUGGGAAGAACACCGGUGGCGAAGGCGGGUCUCUGGGCCGUAACUGACGCUGAGGAGCGAAAGCAUGGGGAGCGAACAGG
rnacentral:rRNA from 1 species